AGGGGCUCCCGGGGAACGCGUGUCCCGUGGCAGAUCCUGCAGCCUCACUGUCCCCGGGACGCGGGGCGGGUGGAGCGGCGGAGGAGGCGGGGUUUGGCAGGGGCGGCGGCGAUGCGGGCUGCAGAGCUGCUCUGGGACAGGAGAGGACGAAUGCAGAGUCCCGGAGCCCCAGAGCCCGGGAACACCCCCCCUCUCCUCCCUCCCUCUCCUCCCCAGCCGCCUUCCCUCUCCGCCUGGGAGCCAGGCUGCACCCAGAGGAAGCUGUCUGCUGGCUGCCACCACAGCCGGGCGUGGGACAUUAAUGUAGAGGGACACAGGCUGACCCAGACGUCCAGGCAAGGAGGACGGCACGCUGACGCCCCGUUCCUGGUGGCCGCUGAACCAGAAAGGGCUGGACCCUCGGCUUCUGCAUGGGACACGAGAUCUGGCCUGGACACCCCCCCCCGGGGGUGACGCCCCAUGAGUGGACCCAAGAAUGGGAAGGGCUGAGCCCCAGCUGCUGGGCUGUGCAAAGAGGGGGCCCAGGACGCCGGGGUGAGGUCUUCAAGGAAACGGCGUGACCCGAGGCGGCGUGGGAAACACACGAGGCCAGGUGUGGGGGGCGGAGGGGCGGGGAGGCCAGCUCAGCCCCUGUCUGUGCCACAUGCCCGCCCCGGAAAGCGAGACCUGCAGAGACUCACCAAUAAAGCCACGUCUCGAGA